rnacentral:rRNA from 1 species
UACGAGGGGGGCGAGCGUUGUUCGGAAUUAUUGGGCGUAAAGGGCGCGUAGGCGGUGCGGUAAGUCACCUGUGAAACCUCUGGGCUUAACCCAGAGCCUGCAGGCGAAACUGCCGUGCUGGAGUAUGGGAGAGGUGUGUGGAAUUCCCGGUGUAGCGGUGAAAUGCGUGGAUAUCGGGAGGAACACCUGUGGCGAAAGCGGCUCACUGGACCAUAACUGUCGCUGAGGCGCGAAAGCUAGGGGAG